rnacentral:tRNA from 1 species
UUAAAGGAUAGGAGUAAUCCUUUGGUCU